rnacentral:rRNA from 1 species
GACGAACGCUGGCGGCGUGCUUAACUCAUGCAAGUCGAGCGGAAAGGCCCUUUCGGGGGUACUCGAGCGGCGAACGGGUGAGUAACACGUGAGUAAUCUGCCCUUCACUUCGGGAUAGCCCUGGGAAACUGGGAUUAAUACCGGAUACGACCGGCCCCUGCAUGGGGUGUCGGUGGAAAGUUUUUUCGGUGGAGGAUGUGCUCGCGGCCUAUCAGCUUGUUGGUGGGGUAAUGGCCUACCAAGGCUUCGACGGGUAGCCGGCCUGAGAGGGUGACCGGCCACACUGGGACUGAGACACGGCCCAGACUCCUACGGGAGGCAGCAGUGGGGAAUAUUGGACAAUGGGCGGAAGCCUGAUCCAGCAACGCCGCGUGAGGGAUGACGGCCUUCGGGUUGUAAACCUCUUUCAGCGCCGACGAAGCGAGAGUGACGGUAGGCGCAGAAGAAGCACCGGCCAACUACGUGCCAGCCGCCGCCGUAACAC